UGGUGGCGACCGGCGCACGGGUGAGUAACGCGUAUGCAACCUACCUAUCAGAGGGGAAUAACCCGGCGAAAGUCGGACUAAUACCGCAUAAAACAGGGGUUCCACAUGGAAAUAUUUGUUAAAGAAUUAUCGCUGAUAGAUGGGCAUGCGUUCCAUUAGAUAGUUGGUGAGGUAACGGCUCACCAAGUCCACGAUGGAUAGGGGUUCUGAGAGGAAGGUCCCCCACACUGGUACUGAGACACGGACCAGACUCCUACGGGAGGCAGCAGUGAGGAAUAUUGGUCAAUGGGCGAGAGCCUGAACCAGCCAAGUCGCGUGAAGGAUGAAGGAUCUAUGGUUUGUAAACUUCUUUUAUAUGGGAAUAAAGUGAGGAACGUGUUCCUUUUUGUAUGUACCAUAUGAAUAAGCAUCGGCUAACUCCGUGCCAGCAGCCGCGGUAAUACGGAGGAUGCGAGCGUUAUCCGGAUUUAUUGGGUUUAAAGGGUGCGUAGGUGGUUAAUUAAGUCAGCGGUGAAAGUUUGUGGCUCAACCAUAAAAUUGCCGUUGAAACUGGUUGACUUGAGUAUAUUUGAGGUAGGCGGAAUGCGUGGUGUAGCGGUGAAAUGCAUAGAUAUCACGCAGAACUCCGAUUGCGAAGGCAGCUUACUAAACUAUAACUGACACUGAAGCACGAAAGCGUGGGGAUCAAACAGGAUUAGAUACCCUGGUAGUCCACGCAGUAAACGAUGAUUACUAGCUGUUUGCGAUACACAGUAAGCGGCACAGCGAAAGCGUUAAGUAAUCCACCUGGGGAGUACGCCGGCAACGGUGAAACUCAAAGGAAUUGACGGGGGCCCGCACAAGCGGAGGAACAUGUGGUUUAAUUCGAUGAUACGCGAGGAACCUUACCCGG
rnacentral:rRNA from 1 species